GGCCCGGUAGUUCCGAUGGUUAGAAUGCCAGCCUGUCACGCUGGAGGUCGAGGGUUCGAACCCCUUCCAGGUCGCCA
rnacentral:tRNA from 1 species